AUUGAACGCUGGCGGCAGGCCUAACACAUGCAAGUCGAACGAGUGGCGGACGGGUGAGUAAUGUAUGAGAACAUGGCUGAUGGAGGGGGAUAACUAAUGGAAACGGUAGCUAAUACCGCAUACCCUCGGAUGUGCCCAGAUGGGAGUAGAUAGUAGGUGGGGGAAAGGCGCACCUAGGCGACGAUCCCAAGCUGGUCUGAGAGGAUGACCAGCCACACUUGAACUGAGACACGGUCCAGACUCCUACGGGAGGCAGCAGUGGGGAAUAUUGCACAAUGGGCGCAAGCCUGAUGCAGCCAUGCCGCGUGUAUGAAGAAGGCCUUCCGGUUGUAAAUUACUUUCAGCGGGGAGGCGUGACCCGCAGAAGAAGCACCGGCUAACUCCGUGCCAGCAGCCGCGGUAAUAC
rnacentral:rRNA from 1 species